AUUGAACGCUGGCGGCAGGCCUAACACAUGCAAGUCGAACGAGUGGCGGACGGGUGAGUAAUGUCUGGGAAACUGCCUGAUGGAGGGGGAUAACUACUGGAAACGGUAGCUAAUACCGCAUACCAUCGGAUGUGCCCAGCUGGGAUUAGCUAGUAGGUGGGGUAACGGCUCACCUAGGCGACGAUCCCUAGCUGGUCUGAGAGGAUGACCAGCCACACUGGACCUGUGAAACGGUCAAGACUCCUAAGGGAGGCAGCAGUGGUGAAUAUUGGACAAUGUGCGAAAGCCUGAUCCAGCCAUGCCGCGUGUGUGAAGAAGGUCUUCGGAUUGUAAAGCACUUUAAGUUGGGAGGCGUUACCAACAGAAUAAGCACCGGCUAACUUCGUGCCAGCAGCCGCGGUAAUUC
rnacentral:rRNA from 1 species